rnacentral:tRNA from 1 species
AAGGGUUUAGGAUAAUUUAAACCAAGGACCUUCAAAGCCCUAAACAGAAGUUAAAAACUUCUAACCCUUG